rnacentral:pre_miRNA from 1 species
AGAGAAGGCAUCCAAAGGGAUCGCAUUGAUCCCAACUUUCUCUCUCUCUCUUUAUCCCAUAGUUUCGGAUCAUGCUAUCUCUUUGGAUUCCUCCUU